CUCCGUCUUGGCCUAACUGGAAAAGGCAUCGGACUGUAAAUCCGACUUUGCGGGUUCGAGUCCCGCAGACGUUGAC
rnacentral:tRNA from 1 species